UUGUCAUCGUUAUCGUCCUCUUCGUCAUUGUCAUCGUCAUCGUUGUUGUUGUUGUUGUUGUUGUUGUCGUCAUCGUCGCUGUUGUUGUUGUUGUCGUUGUUGUUGUUGUUGUUGUUGUUGUUGUUGUUGUUGUUGUUGUCUUCAUGGUCGUCGUCGUCAUCCUCAUCGUUGGCAUCGUUGUCAUCGUCGGCGUCGUUUUUGUCGUCAUUGUCA
rnacentral:lncRNA from 1 species